GUCCCCGUAGUUUAAUGGAUAAAAUUUUUGGUUGCGGACCAAAAGAGUGGAGGUUCGAAUCCUCCCGGGGACA
rnacentral:tRNA from 1 species